UACGAAGGGGGCUAGCGUUGUUCGGAUUUACUGGGCGUAAAGCGCACGUAGGCGGAUCGUUAAGUCGGGGGUGAAAUCCUGGAGCUCAACUCCAGAACUGCCUUCGAUACUGGCGAUCUUGAGUCCGGAAGAGGUGAGUGGAACUCCUAGUGUAGAGGUGGAAUUCGUAGAUAUUAGGAAGAACACCAGUGGCGAAGGCGGCUCACUGGCCCGAAACUGACGCUCAUGCACGACAGCGUGGGGAUCAAACAGG
rnacentral:rRNA from 1 species